CCGAGUUAUUUCGACCCCAACCCGAAUUUGCCCUGACCUACAUACAGGCAAUGAUUCACAAGCAUCUUACAAGGAUGACAUGGCAAGUAAAAUAAAAUUUAGAAAGAUUCUCAUUCACUCAUUUUCUCCCAAUCCUGACCCGAAAUCUUAUCCCUCACUUAUAGUCGGUGUCGGUGCCAUCCUCCCCAUCUUCGAGCACCGUCGAAUCGCUGAAUUUGAAAAGUAGCCAAAUCAUGUAUAAUACCAUUAACUUCUAUGCCCCUCCAGUUAAAUUAUUUUCUACCAUAAAAAUCAACACAUGAAUCCAAUUCACAGCAAUCUUUUAGAUGGACAUUUGAUAUGGGAUGUGAUGAUGGGUUUCGUGAAAGUGCUUUAAAUCGAGGAACAAGGAUGCUGAAUACUAGUUAUAAUGAUUCAAGUACUCAAUCCCAAAUAGGCACUAUUAAUUGGAGCUCUAAUCCUCAUUGUUCAACAAAUAAUUUGCUUAAACUGCCUCAAUCCAGUGGGAAUUUUGGAGUAAUGGGAUUUUGGGAGGGUUCCAUGAAUGGAAAUCCAUUGUUUGUUAAUAGGUAUAAGAUUUUGAAACCUCUUGAUGGUUUUGUUUCAAUUGGAUUACAUGAUUCACAAACCACACUCUUUCAAAAAAAGUGUCAGCAAUUUGGGAGCUUUGGAUUUAGGUGGUGAAAUCAAUCAUUCUCAAAGUUCUACCAGCCUUGAAGGCUAUAACAAGAAGGAGGAAUUUAGGGAUGCUAUGAGAAGAAGAGGAAAAACAAUAGCUGGGGAAUUAUGGGAAGAUUUUAGCAUUGAUGGGUCAAAUUUGAAUCAUGACUCUGAUCAAUUUCUGGAGAAUAGUAUUAUCAAUAAGAUUUGAGAGAGUGAUAAAAAUGGCGGAAGUAGCUCAAAUGCUGAUACCACUGUCACCUGCGGUAGUGGGGGAGACCACUAGGGUUAGAAGAAGGGGCUUCCGACAAAGAAUUUGAUGGCGAAAGCCGUCGGAGGAAAAAGUUCAGUGACAGAUUGAAAGGUUCUAGUGAGUACGGAUUGAGUCGCGGUGGGGUUUGGCUGGAGCUUCAGUGUCAAUUUUUUAUUUUAUUUUAAAGUUGAAGUAUUGGCCAUGUCACCAAUUUCAAACCAAUAGAAAAAUACCUGUAAGAAUCCUUAGAAUCUCAUCCCUGUACAUAUAGUACUAUUCCUUUGCUUAUUGAGUUUUGCCAUACGUAACUCCGAGGUACACUUUCCUUACAAGAGGGAAGCCCAUGUAUUUUUUAAUGAAUAAUGCUAUUUGCAG
rnacentral:lncRNA from 1 species